CCAAAGGCCCUCUUUAGGGCCACCUAUUAUAUUCUUAAGGUUGUUUU
rfam:Strongyloides papillosus strain LIN genome assembly, scaffold: SPAL_contig0000163